rnacentral:tRNA from 1 species
GGGCUGGGCACUGGUGUGCAACGUGUUCUUGACAAACCCGUGUUGCGGGUUCAAUUCCCGUCCGGUCCACCA